rnacentral:rRNA from 1 species
UACGUAGGGUGCAAGCGUUGUCCGGAAUUAUUGGGCGUAAAGGGCUCGUAGGCGGUCCAUCGCGUCGGGGGUGAAAAGCUGGGGCUUAACCCCAGUCCUGCUUCCGAUACGGGUGGACUAGAGGUAGGUAGGGGAGAACGGAAUUCCUGGUGUAGCGGUGAAAUGCGCAGAUAUCAGGAGGAACACCGAUGGCGAAGGCAGCUCGCUGGGACGGUACUGACGCUGAGACGCGAAAGCGUGGGGAGCAAACAGG